CCUUACCUUGAGCAAUGAUCCACUAUCUUUUUCACAGUACAACCAAUGGUUUAAAUCCUAAUACUAGUCUAACACUCACCAAUUUAGCAACCUCACUGUUGUACGAAAACUAGAUCAUUCUCCCACUAAAUUUUCCCCUCGAAAGUUUAACUUUGCAAUUCAAGAGACUCUCUUGAUUGCUGACAAAAACUAUGCACACAUACAAGUUUUAAAAAAUAUCAAUACUCAUUUAAAAAAUAUUGAUACUAUCAGGUUUUAAAAACUCAUGCAGCGUGUUUUCAAACAAUUUAAGAAACCCCUAAAUUUUUCUGCUCUCGUUUCAAAAAGGCCUUUCAACCCUAACUUCAAAAUUCCUUAAUACUUCAUUUUUUUCUUUAAAAUCUUAACACAAAACAACCUAUGUUGUCUUUUCUUACAAGGAUUCAACAAGUUUGCUCUCAAAUUUCACAAUUUUUAAGCAAUUUCAAGGAGGUUGCCUAAGCUUAGCCAAAGUCUUAAAACUUUUCUUUGAACCCUUUGCAUACAAGGUGUUUGAUAAAAUUCCCCAACCAGAAUUUUAAGUGCAAAUAGUGUCUCUCUAGUCUAGUUAGUUAGAAUGUCUAUUAGGAAACAUCCUCGUUUCGGUCCUAUUCAUCUAGUGGUCAAACCAUUUCUUUCAGUGAUUGUUUUAGAAAUUACAAUGAUACUUAUCUGUUUGAUCAAUAUUUUUCAAAACGCAAAGUUAAUGUUACUCGCACACUUGAUUUUAAAUUUUUAUCCAAAAUCAAAUUUCAAUUUCUUGAAACGUUAGUCUAAUGGCAUUGGCUCGUGUUUUUUAAAAUUCGUUCACCAAUGCAUGCUAAUCUUGUUUGAGCAUUUUAUUCAAAUGCUUGGCUCGAACAUGAUGAAUCCAAUGAGACUGUGGUUGCUAUUAAUUAUUUUCUCAUGAAUACUCCUCUUCGUCUCAUUUUGGAAAAUUUUGGUAAAUUUUUUAAACUUCCUCCCGAUAGUGAGUCAAAUGAGAAAUGCCCUUACUAUCCGGCCUUAAACGUUCGACGCUCGUAUGCAUCCGAGCUCAAUGUCCAUGAUCACGUUUUGCAUUUUAUAAUCACAUGGAUAUUGUGUCCUAUUUCAAAACACAUCAUUUUUUUUUAUCUAUUGACUACUAGUGGAUUGAUUGUUUUCAUAGCAAUAGGCGUUCGGAUCUUACUUUAAUUUUAUUUAAUGACAUUACCGAGCGUAUUGGCAAGGAGCUCGCUAGUCAGCUCACUUUACCUUUUGGCACGUACUUGUUAUAUAUUUUUGAACGCCUAAACAUCCCAACCAAUAUCGACCCUCCAUUGGUCAUUAAAUAUCAACCUAUUAGCUUUACUUCCCUUCAUCGAGCUGGUUUUAAAAUGGAUCCUUUUACCAAAAAUUGGGUUAAGGAUGAUCAUCCUAAUCCUCAAGAUGUUGAUGAUGAAGACCUUGAAGAAGACCAUGAUGAUAUUCCUCCUUCCGAGCAGGACCCUCCACUGGCUUCUUCAUCCGCUCAACCAUCUACUCCAACUCUCUUUGACGACAUGUUUGUCACCAUCCUUAGUGCUAUUACUUCCUUGAGUGAGGAGUUUAGAGGUUUUCGUACUCAAGUAGAUGAUGUGUUUGAUCGAGUUAAUAACAAUGUUAGUAGUCUAGACUUUAGGAUGUCUAGGAUGUAGGAAAAUAUUGCAUAUCUAAUGUCUCAAUUCUCUCCUACUCCUCCACCUCAAGAAGACUAGGAUACAUAUUUUUUUUUCUCAUGCGUUUUCCUCAUUUUCAUGGCACAUUUUCCUAUUUCUAUGUCAGAACUUAAUGUUUAUUUUGGUAUAUUGUUUGUAGAUCCUUGAAAGUUUAUUUUGGUAUAUAUUUAUGUUAGUUCUUUGCUUUCCAA